rnacentral:rRNA from 1 species
UACGUAGGGGGCGAGCGUUGUCCGGAUUUAUUGGGCGUAAAGAGCUCGUAGGCGGUUCGGUAAGUCGAAUGUGAAAUCUCCACGCUCAACGUGGAGGGGUCAUUCGAAACUGCCGUGACUUGAGUACGGUAGGGGAGUGUGGAAUUCCCGGUGUAGCGGUGAAAUGCGCAGAGAUCGUAAGGAAGACCAGUGGCGAAGGCGGGUCUCUGGACAGUUCCUGACACUGAGGCACGAAGGCCAGGGGAGCAAACGGG